AACGAACGCUGGCGGCAUGCCUAACACAUGCAAGUCGAACGAGACCUUCGGGUCUAGUGGCGCACGGGUGCGUAACGCGUGGGAACCUGCCCUUAGGUUCGGAAUAACUCCCCGAAAGGGGUGCUAAUACCGGAUAAUGUCUUCGGACCAAAGAUUUAUCGCUUUUGGAUGGGCCCGCGUUGGAUUAGCUAGUUGGUAGGGUAAAAGCCUACCAAGGCGACGAUCCAUAGCUGGUCUGAGAGGAUGAUCAGCCACACUGGGACUGAGACACGGCCCAGACUCCUACGGGAGGCAGCAGUGGGGAAUAUUGGAAAAUGGGCGAAAGCCUGAUCCAGCAAUGCCGCGUGAGUGAUGAAGGCCUUAGGGUUGUAAAGCUCUUUUAACCGGGAUGAUAAUGACAGUACCGGGAGAAUAAGCUCCGGCUAACUCCGUG
rnacentral:rRNA from 1 species